rfam:Trichobilharzia regenti genome assembly, scaffold: TRE_scaffold0081305
GUACUGCUGAAGUGUCCCAGACUAGAACGGAACAGAUGUCCAGUAC